rnacentral:tRNA from 1 species
AGAGUUAGUUAAACAAUAAUAUAAGAUUGUCAAUCUUACGUUGCUAAUGAAGUUUAGUACUUUUUAC